AGACGCCGUGGUCUGCCAAUCCUCUUCGCGCUCCGCGUCCCCCGCCCGCAACUCGCGGAUCUAUUCCACCCACCUCCAUAGUUCCCCACCCCCUCCCUCCUCUCUUGUGCUCACCACCGCUACAAGACGCCGCCGGGCGACUCGGGGUGCAGCAGACUCGGCCUGCGGGCGCCGGAAUCCCUCUCCUUCGUCGAGCGACGGCGGCGCGGGACGCAUCGGGACCGACCUGCGUCGGCGGCGGCGGGAUCCCUCUCCUCCUCCGAGUAGCGGCGGCAGUGCGGGACGCAGCGGGCGGCGCAUAGCGCUCAUGUAAAUGGAUCUCUGUUAUAGUGAAGGAACCAGAGGGAAGGAUGCUACUGUCUUAGCAGCGGUGUUGAUACGUCAUUAUGUGGAGCUUGUGAAGGAAAAAGAUAAACCAACAAGCUUAGGCGAUCGUCUAUUGGCGACAACCUGGUUCAAUAGGUGACAAAACUGAUUCUCUCUUACCAGCUAUGACUACAUGGUCAAUAUAUAUACAUGUGCAACAUCCAAGAAGAGAGAUGUCAUCGAACUUCUCAUUAACUUUUUCCGGCUCUACUCUCUCCUUUACUGUUGAGAGCAUAUGGAGUGCUAUCAAUCAAUAUGAACAGCUUCCUGCCGCCUCUCUUCUUCUGGAUUGCUUUGUUUAUGAAAAUAUUCGGUAACUCGAUAUUUUUCUCUUACUUCAUGAGAUUAUAUAAUGCUAAGAUUUUACUGGUUUCAUCUUCUAUGUUUGUAGUCAUAGCUGAGUUUGUUAUUUCUGCGGGAAAUGACUAAUAUGACUUCAGAUCCAGCUAAAACACAUCAUGUUGACAUUAAUUUUGGAACUUAGAAAAUUCUGGAGAUGACAAAUGUGUCAGUAACCUAAAACACAUAUUGAAGUAUCAUUCACCAAGUAGUGCUCAGAUGGUAACUUGGUGAGUUAUACUGCAUAUCAGUGCAAUCACAUUUCUGUACUUUCUCUCCAAUAGGGAGGUACGUACAACGAUACAAGGCUGUAAAUAUUAGUAGCACAUCUUCUCACAUAAGUUACCAAAGCCAUGUCCUUCUAAUUUUACCCUUAUCAUGCUUAUAGAGCUCGGGAGAGGGGUUGCUAGCUUUGGUAGCUUGAUUUUGGUCUGGGGGUAAAGAUUUACCAUGGGAACUAGGCACAACAAUGUUACGUAAAUUAGAAAAAAACAUGUAUCCUUCUAUGAACUAUAUAGUAAUUCUGAGCCUGUAUGCAUAUCAUUUUUGGGUGUACAGUUUCUGCUAUUGUGGAUGCUACCAGUUCCAGUUGACAACAAUAUAUUAUAUCUUUUUUAGGAUGUAAAUUCGAAACCCGUAAUUUGCAUUCCUAAUCUUUUUAAUUAUUCUUGUUGUGAUGAAUAAUUUAAGGGUGUCGGUGUUGAUAUGUGCCAUAAAACCCACAGGUUUCCUUUGAGCUCUUUCAUUAAUGAUGUUUGCUCCUCUUUUGUACUUCUAAUUAUUAUGGCAGGAAGUCUCACUACUACACAAUUCAUGCCUCUGCCAAAUAUUCUAAUCAUCUGUAUUUUUGAAGUUGUAGAUGAUUAGAUUUUCAGCUAAUUUUCUGUUGUAGUAUACACAUUGUGGCAAGCUAACACUGAAAAGCAGAAAUUGGACGCCUCAAGUUCCUGAAGUUUUCAUCGCAAAAAAGAUAAACUGCUAGACUUAAUGAGUGCAGACAAUGGAAUUCUCGAUUUUUAUCUGUGCCGUUCAAAAGAUGUUGCUUUAGGACAUAUUUGUAAGCCUUGGAGCUUGUACUUUGGCAUGAUACCACAUUCAAGACCAGAGUUAGUUUUUUUUUAGGGAAUGAUCAGAAAGUUAGUGAGGAUGAGGGAAUGUGCUUUUGUUAGAGUUGUUCAGGAUGAUGGGAGCUGCGGUUUUGGGCCUCCCAUAUGCUUGUUUGUGCCUGAAUAUGAGUGUACUUCAAGACGUAAUACAAAAAUACUUGUUUAUGCGAUGUAAUGUGGAUAUACAUGAUCCUAUUGGGGUGUGCA